CGCGUAGGCGGUCUUGUCGGUCAGAUGUGAAAGCCCAGGGCUCAACCCUGGACGUGCAUUUGAAACAGCAAGACUUGAGUACGGGAGAGGAAAGCGGAAUUCCUGGUGUAGAGGUGAAAUUCGUAGAUAUCAGGAGGAACACCGAUGGCGAAGGCAGCUUUCUGGACCGAUACUGACGCUGAGGCGCGAAGGCGUGGGUAGCGAACAGGAUUAGAUACCCUGGUAGUCC
rnacentral:rRNA from 1 species